UACGGGGGGGGCAAGCGUUGUUCGGAAUUACUGGGCGUAAAGGGCUCGUAGGCGGCCAACUAAGUCGGAUGUGAAAUCCCCAGGCUCAACCUGGGAACUGCAUCCGAUACUGGAUGGCUUGGAUUUGGGAGAGGGAUGCGGAAUUCCAGGUGUAGCGGUGAAAUGCGUAGAUAUCUGGAGGAACACCGGUGGCGAAGGCGGCAUCCUGGACCAAUAUUGACGCUGAGGAGCGAAAGCCAGGGGAGCAAACGGG
rnacentral:rRNA from 1 species